rnacentral:rRNA from 1 species
CCUACGGGAGGCAGCAGUAGGGAAUCUUCCACAAUGGACGAAAGUCUGAUGGAGCAACGCCGCGUGAGUGAAGAAGGUUUUCGGAUCGUAAAACUCUGUUGUAAGGGAAGAACACGUACGAGAGUAACUGCUCGUACCUUGACGGUACCUUAUUAGAAAGCCACGGCUAACUACGUGCCAGCAGCCGCGGUAA